GACGAACGCUGGCGGCGUGCUUAACACAUGCAAGUCGAACGGAAAGGCCCCUUUGGGGGUACUCGAGUGGCGAACGGGUGAGUAACACGUGAGUAACCUGCCCUUGACUUCGGGAUAACUUCAGGAAACUGGGGCUAAUACCGGAUAGGAAUCCUUGCUGCAUGGUGGGGGUUGGAAAGCUUCGGCGGUUUUGGAUGGACUCGCGGCUUAUCAGCUUGUUGGUGGGGUAGUGGCUUACCAAGGCUUUGACGGGUUGCCGGCCUGAGAGGGCGACCGGCCACAUUGGGACUGAGAUACGGCCCAGACUCCUACGGGAGGCAGCAGUGGGGAAUAUUGCACAAUGGGCGGAAGCCUGAUGCAGCAACGCCGCGUGCGGGAUGACGGCCUUCGGGUUGUAAACCGCUUUCAGCAGGGGCGAAGCUUGUGGUGACGGUACCUGCAGAAGAAGCACCGGCUAACUACGUG
rnacentral:rRNA from 1 species